CUUCACUGUACUGCUCAGACCUCUCCAUCCUGGUGGCAAGGGCUUAGGCCAUUAUUCAUGGUCUGACUGGUCUUGACGUGGCCAUCUUGCCUUUGAAAAAGGGCAGACACAGAGCAUGUUCAGAGCAUGGAGCCAUACUGUGUGAUUUCUUCAAAGAGAGCUUAACCGUAGAAUUUGGAUUAAUAAAUGACGUAACUGCUUCAGGGCAACAGACCCUCACUGCAGCUGCUUAGCCCAGGAAGCAGCAAGGUCAGUACAAGGAGAGCCACAGGCCUGGGGAGAUGCAUGCCUUCCUUCCUGGCCAGCUGGAUCGCACUACAUAGCCCAGAUCGCCUGCAAGAAGGACAAAGUCAAGCACUUCACAACCCUGUCAGUUGUAGUCCUGAAGAAGGUGGCCAGGAGCUCUAGAAGGAUUCAAAGCCCCAGGGAUUUUUGGUUUUCAUGUACACACUUCUCUUUACAUAUUUGUUCUUCGACAUCCAAUCAGCCUUGCAGGGAGGAUAUAAUAGCCAGAAAAAUAAGCAAACAGAAGAUUCCAGGUUCUACUUUAUGCCAAUUUUGCUCAAAUAUCUCAGUCACUAGAAAAAGAUCUAUUUGAAAAUCUUUCUCUGAGCAGUUUCUGUCUUGAGCCCCAUUGUUUGAGGAGCCUGUUGGAUUUUUAAAUUUAUUAGUGUUUCCAUACUUCAUUCCUUGACAUAUAUGUAUAUUCUCUAUACUUUACAAUUACAAGUAAACUCUUGAUAAUAAAAAGUAACUGUCA